rnacentral:rRNA from 2 species
GGAUCCAGACUUUGAUUAUGGCUCAGGACGAACGCUGGCGGCGUGCUUAACACAUGCAAGUCGAACGAGAAUCUACUGAAAGAGUUUUCGGACAAUGGAUGUAGAGGAAAGUGGCGGACGGGUGAGUAACGCGUGAGGAACCUGCCUUGAAGAGGGGGACAACAGUUGGAAACGACUGCUAAUACCGCAUGAUGCAUAGGGGUCGCAUGAUCUUUAUGCCAAAGAUUUAUCGCUUCAAGAUGGCCUCGCGUCUGAUUAGCUGGUUGGCGGGGUAACGGCCCACCAAGGCGACGAUCAGUAGCCGGACUGAGAGGUUGAACGGCCACAUUGGGACUGAGAUACGGCCCAGACUCCUACGGGAGGCAGCAGUGGGGAAUAUUGGGCAAUGGGCGCAAGCCUGACCCAGCAACGCCGCGUGAAGGAAGAAGGCUUUCGGGUUGUAAACUUCUUUUAAGAGGGAAGAGCAGAAGACGGUACCUCUAGAAUAAGCCACGGCUAACUACGUGCCAGCAGCCGCGGUAAUACGUAGGUGGCAAGCGUUGUCCGGAUUUACUGGGUGUAAAGGGCGUGCAGCCGGGUCUGCAAGUCAGAUGUGAAAUCCAUGGGUUCAACCCAUGAACUGCAUUUGAAACUGUAAAUCUUGAGUGUCGGAGGGGCAAUCGGAAUUCCUAGUGUAGCGGUGAAAUGCGUAGAUAUUAGGAGGAACACCAGUGGCGAAGGCGGAUUGCUGGACGAUAACUGACGGUGAGGCGCGAAAGUGUGGGGAGCAAACAGGAUUAGAUACCCUGGUAGUCCACACUGUAAACGAUGAAUACUAGGUGUGCGGGGACUGACCCCCUGCGUGCCGCAGUAAACACAAUAAGUAUUCCACCUGGGGAGUACGAUCGCAAGGUUGCAACUCAAAUGAAUUGACGG